rnacentral:tRNA from 1 species
GGAAGGGUGCCAGAGUGGUCCAAUGGAACAGCUUGGAAAGCUGUGGCUCGAAAGGGUCUCGUGGGUUCGAAUCCCACCCCUUCCG